CCUACGGGAGGCAGCAGUCGAGAAUCAUUCACAAUGGGGGAAACCCUGAUGGUGCGACGCCGCGUGCGGGAAUGAAGGUCUUCGGAUUGUAAACCCCUGUCAUGUGGGAGCAAAUUAAAAAGAUAGUACCACAAGAGGAAGAGACGGCUAACUCUGUGCCAGCAGCCGCGGUAAGACAGAGGUCUCAAGCGUUGUUCGGAAUCACUGGGCGUAAAGCGUGCGUAGGCUGUGUCGUAAGUCGUGUGUGAAAGGCGCGGGCUCAACCCGCGGACGGCAGAGGAUACGGCGAGACUAGAGUAAGGGAGGGGGAGCCGGAAGUCGUGGUGUAGCAGUGAAAUGCGUAGAUAUCGAGAGGAACACUCGUGGCGAAGGCGGGUUCCCGGAGAGUAACUGACGCUGAGGCACGAAGGCCAGGGGAGCGAAAGGGAUUAGAUACCCGAGUAGUC
rnacentral:rRNA from 1 species